UACGUAGGGGGCAAGCGUUGUCCGGAUUUACUGGGCGUAAAGAGCGUGUAGGCGGCCAGGCAGGUCUGUUGUGAAAACUGGAGGCUCAACUUCCAGACGUCGACAGAAACCGCUUGGCUAGAGUCCGGAAGAGGAGAGUGGAAUUCCUGGUGUAGCGGUGAAAUGCGCAGAUAUCAGGAAGAACACCGAUGGCGAAGGCAGCUCUCUGGGACGGUACUGACGCUGAGACGCGAAAGCGUGGGAGCGAACAGG
rnacentral:rRNA from 1 species